GUUCGACAAAUAUUUAUUGAGUGCCUGCCCACUGGACUCCCUGAGUGAGGGCAAGGUCUUGCCACCACCAGCUCCCUGGUGCCUGCACCUGGCCUGGUCCAUGGGUCUUCUGAGCAUUCAUGACUGUUGUCCAGUGAAUGACUGAGGCCCCCAAAGCUUUGCGAUUCUAAAGUAUAAUCAUAGUGAACGUGAAUUCAGUGUUGUCUGUGUUCCAGGAAUGGCGUAAUGCUGUCUGUCUAUUUAUUUAACAACUCUGUGAAACCGAGAUUCCCAUCCCACUUCUCCAGGCGAGGAAAUGGAAGCUCCCAGCUCUCACCCUGCCUGACCUCACCCAGCUUGUGGCUGAGAUCUGUGUGGUUCAGCAGCGUUCGCUAACCACCCACUGCUGACCAGCUCGACGCUAACCAUACUGCCCCUCACUGGGUGAAGACAUACAUAUUAUUUCAAAUCUUUGAUUUGAAUAUCAAAGAUUUCAUAUCGUAUAGCCGGACGAUGGAGACCUCAUGAGGUCCCCUGUGGGGGACAACCUGCCCCCUCGGGGGCCCUACAAGUUGGACCUGUGGGGCUUCACUCACCUCCCUUCUGACAAGGCAGAGGUGAGCUCAGGCCUACAAGCAUUGCAGGGCAUGCAAGGUCCACACGCCAGAAGUCAGCUGGCUGCAGCCCCUCCCAGACGCCCAGGCUUCUGGGAAGCGAGUCUCCACCUGAGGGAAAUCUUUGGCUCUGGGGACUGGUGACACCUGAGACUUUGAACUCUCAAGGAAGCCCGGCACACAGUUGGCCACCUCAGGCCGGGGCGGCGGCAAACUACUUUAGCUCAUGGCCUUCCAGUGGGCUCCCCUCAUGCCUCUCCACAGCAGCCAUCUCUGAAAGAAGACGAACUCUCCCAAGACAGAGGUCAUGGACGGGACCUGCUCUAAUUGGCUGCCGCCUGGGCAUCAGCCCUAUGUGGUCUCCUGCUCCAGCUCAAAAGAGAAAUCAUAAGCAUUUUGUAUUUCUCCCAUAAUUUGUUUGCAUUUGUUUUACUAUAAAAGUAAUGACUAGAGGUGCUUGGCUGGCUCAGUCGGUGGAGUGUGCAACUCUCGAUCUCGAGAUUAUGAGUUCGAGUCCCACAUUGGAUGUAGAGAUUACUUAAAAAUAAAAUCUUAAAAAAAAAAAAGUAACA
rnacentral:lncRNA from 1 species